AGCGAACGCUGGCGGCAGGCCUAAUACAUGCAAGUCGAGCGCCCUUUCGGGGGAGCGGCGGACGGGUGAGUAACGCGUGGGAACGUGCCCUUUGGUACGGAACAACACAGGGAAACUUGUGCUAAUACCGUAUGUGCCCUUCGGGGGAAAGAUUUAUCGCCAUUGGAGCGGCCCGCGUUGGAUUAGGUAGUUGGUGAGGUAAAGGCUCACCAAGCCUACGAUCCAUAGCUGGUCUGAGAGGAUGAUCAGCCACACUGGGACUGAGACACGGCCCAGACUCCUACGGGAGGCAGCAGUAGGGAAUCUUGCGCAAUGGGCGAAAGCCUGACGCAGCCAUGCCGCGUGAAUGAUGAAGGUCUUAGGAUUGUAAAAUUCUUUCACCGGGGAAGAUAAUGACGGUACCCGGAGAAGAAGCCCCGGCUAACUACGUGCCAGCCGCCGCGGUAA
rnacentral:rRNA from 1 species